UGUAUAAAGUGCAUUAGCCCUGGUGCCUGUAGUGUUCAAGUUCUUCCCGAAUUCAGCGGUCCAGGACUUGUUUUGGAUACACUUCUGUUUAUGCCAGCUUCUGGAAUCUGUGGCUAUCCCUAUCCACCAAGUGCCUGCUGGGAUGGACAUGCCGAGACAGAGUGGAUGGAUAAAUCCACAUCCUUUGGAAUAACAGCUGAGUCCCCAACUGGCCUCAUCACACCAGAUCUCCCUGCUCUCUUCUCACUGACCCUCUAAAUAUAGAAUAACAGGCGGAGAGGUUUAUCUACAAAUGUUGGAUGGGACCAGCAUGAAACAAAGCACAGAGAAACUCCUAUUACAACACACUCAGAGGGAGAGUGACUUCAUUCUCC